AAGGCUUUAGCUUAAUUAAAGCGCUUGUUUUGCAUGCAGGAGCUGUGGGCUAGUACCCCGCAAGCCUUA
rnacentral:tRNA from 1 species